rnacentral:rRNA from 1 species
GAUGAACGCUGGCGGCGUGCCUAAUACAUGCAAGUCGAGCGAACAGACGAGGAGCUUGCUCCUCUGACGUUAGCGGCGGACGGGUGAGUAACACGUGGAUAACCUACCUAUAAGACUGGGAUAACUUCGGGAAACCGGAGCUAAUACCGGAUAAUAUAUUGAACCGCAUGGUUCAAUAGUGAAAGACGGUUUUGCUGUCACUUAUAGAUGGAUCCGCGCCGCAUUAGCUAGUUGGUAAGGUAACGGCUUACCAAGGCAACGAUGCGUAGCCGACCUGAGAGGGAGAUUGGCCACACUGGCACUGAGACACGGUCCAGACUCCUACGGGAGGCAGCAGUAGGGAAUCUUCCGCGAUGCGCGAAAGCCUGACGGAGCAACGCCGCGUGAGUGAUGAAGGUCUUCGGAUCGUAAAACUCUGUUAUUAGGGAAGAACAAAUGUGUAAGUAACUAUGCACGUCUUGACGGUACCUAAUCAGAAAGCCACGGCUAACUACGUG